rnacentral:rRNA from 1 species
UACAGAGGGGGCAAGCGUUAUUCGGAAUUAUUGGGCGUAAAGGGCGCGUAGGCGGCCUGGCAAGUGGAAGGUGAAAUCCCUCGGCUUAACCGAGGAACUGCCCUCCAAACUGCUUGGCUUGAGUCCGGGAGAGGUGAGUGGAAUUCCCAGUGUAGCGGUGAAAUGCGCAGAUAUCAGGAAGAACACCCGUGGCGAAGGCGGCUCUCUGGGACGGUACUGACGCUGAGACGCGAAAGCGCGGGGAGCGAACAGG